AGGAUGAACGCUGCGGGAGGCUWACACCUGCAAGUCGAGCGGUAUAGCCCCUUCGGGGGUWUAGAGCGGCGCACGGGUGAGUAACGCGUAUGCAACCUGCCUUUUACCGGGGAAUAGCCCGGAGAAAUUUGGAUUAAUGCCCCAUGGUUCCAGUAUUCUGCAUGGAAUACUGGAUAAAGCUGAGGCGGUAAAAGAUGGGCAUGCGUGACAUUAGCUGGUUGGAGGGGUAACGGCCCACCAAGGCUACAAUGUCUAGGGGUUCUGAGAGGAUGAUCCCCCACACUGGUACUGAGACACGGACCAGACUCCUACGGGAGGCAGCAGUGAGGAAUAUUGGUCAAUGGGCGCAAGCCUGAACCAGCCAUCCCGCGUGAAGGAAGACUGUACUAUGUAUUGUAAACUUCUUUUCUGCAAGAAGAACGUGUCCUACGUGUANGGCAGUGACGGUAUUGCAGGAAUAAGCAUCGGCUAACUCCGUGCCAGCAGCCGCGGUAAUCGGAGGAUGCGAGCGUUAUCGGAUUCAUGGGUUU
rnacentral:rRNA from 1 species